AUAUAUAGGAGGUCUUGCCUGCCCAGUGACUAGUUAAACGGCCGCGGUAUUUUGACCGUGCGAAGGUAGCGCAAUCACUUGUCUUUUAAAUGAAGACCUGUAUGAAUGGUGGAACGAGGGCUUAACUGUCUCCCCCUUCAAGUCAAUGAAAUUGAUCUGCCCGUGCAGAAGCGAGCAUACAAAUACAAGACGAGAAGACCCUUUGGAGCUUAAGAUACAAGAUCAACUAUGUCAAGGACCAAAAAGUCAAACUAAAUAGCAACUGAUCCCUAUCUUCGGUUGGGGCGACCGCGGGAGAAAACAAAGCUCCCACGCGGAUUGGGGCCCACCCCUAAAACCAAGAAAGACAUUUCUAAGUCACAGAAUAUCUGACCAUUAAGAUCCGGCCACACCCCGAUCAACGGACCAAGUUACCCUAGGGAUAACAGCGCACUCCUCUUCCAGAGUCCAUAUCGACAAGAGGGUUUACGACCUCGAUGUUGGAUCAGGACAUCCUAAUGGUGCAGCCGCUAUUAAGGGUUCGUUUGUUCAACGAUUAAAGUCCUACGUGAUCUGAGUUCAGACCGGA
rnacentral:rRNA from 1 species